GGCUUCGUAGUUCAACUGGAUAGAAUAUCGGAUUUCGGCUCCGAGGGUUGGGGGUUCGAACCCCUCCGAAGUCACUA
rnacentral:tRNA from 2 species